rnacentral:tRNA from 1 species
GGGGUGCUUACCCGAUGAUUCGGGAGAGCGCUUGAAUGGCAUUCAAGAGGUAGUCGGUUCGAUCCCGAUCGUCUCCACCA